rnacentral:rRNA from 1 species
UACGGAGGGUGCGAGCGUUGUUCGGAAUUACUGGGCGUAAAGCGCGUGCAGGCGGCCGAUUAAGUCCGGUGUGAAAGCCCGGGGCUCACCCCCGGAAGUGCGCUGGAAACUGGUCGGCUAGAGUACGGGAGAGGGAAGCGGAAUUCCUGGUGUAGCGGUGAAAUGCGUAGAUAUCAGGAGGAACACCGGCGGCGAAGGCGGCUUCCUGGACCGAUACUGACGCUGAGACGCGAAAGCGUGGGGAGCGAACAGG